rnacentral:tRNA from 1 species
GCCCGGGUAACUCAGUGGUAGAGUGCUAGUCUCGUAAACUAGAAGUCGAGGGUUCAACUCCCUCUCCGGGCU